UGUUAAUGAUGAUACAUUUUUCUCAGCUCACUCAGAAUAUAUAUAAUGCUGAUAAUUUUAACCUAUCCAACAUUCAUCAUAUCUGAUUAAUCU
rnacentral:snoRNA from 1 species